GAUGAACGCUAGCGGGAGGCCUAACACAUGCAAGCCGAGCGGUAGAGUUUCUUCGGAAACUUGAGAGCGGCGUACGGGUGCGGAACACGUGUGCAACCUGCCUUUAUCAGGGGGAUAGCCUUUCGAAAGGAAGAUUAAUACCCCAUAAUAUUUAGAAUGGCAUCAUUUUAAAUUGAAAACUCCGGUGGAUAGAGAUGGGCACGCGCAAGAUUAGAUAGUUGGUGAGGUAACGGCUCACCAAGUCUGCGAUCUUUAGGGGGCCUGAGAGGGUGAUCCCCCACACUGGUACUGAGACACGGACCAGACUCCUACGGGAGGCAGCAGUGAGGAAUAUUGGACAAUGGGUGCGAGCCUGAUCCAGCCAUCCCGCGUGAAGGACGACGGCCCUAUGGGUUGUAAACUUCUUUUGUAUAGGGAUAAACCUACCCUCGUGAGGGUAGCUGAAGGUACUAUACG
rnacentral:rRNA from 5 species